GGGGGGGGGGGGGGGGGGGCCGGAGGGGGGGAAGUCGGGCGGGAGCACGGUGAGAGCGUGCGCUUACGGGUGGCGAGUGGCGGACGGGUGAGGAAUACAUCGGAAUCUACUUUUUCGUGGGGGAUCACGUAGGGAAACGUACGCUACUACCGCAUACUACCUACGGGUGAGAGCAGGGGAUCUUCGGACCUUGCGCGAUUGAAUGAGCCGAUGUCGGAUUAGCUCGUUGGCGGGGUAAAGGCCCACCCAGGCGACGAUCCGUAGCUGGUCUGAGAGGAUGAUCAGCCACACUGGAACUGAGACACGGUCCAGACUCCUACGGGAGGCAGCAGUGGGGAAUAUUGGACAAUGGGCGCAAGCCUGAUCCAGCCAUACCGCGUGGGUGAAGAAGGCCUUCGGGUUGUAAAGCCCUUUUGUUGGGAAAGAAAAGCAGCAGGUUAAUACCCCGCUGUUCUGACGGUACCCAAAGAAUAAGCACCGGCUAACUUCGUG
rnacentral:rRNA from 1 species